UGUUGAACACCAGGUCACGGAGUAGACGGUGGUUUGUCUUCUUCCAAUGUUACUUCUCCUGAACUUCAGCAGGUGGCCUUGGCAUCACAAGACUUGGAUUUUUCUGGAAACUGAGCUUUAUUUUAUAGAAAAAUGAAGACUCAGAUAUACUGAGGAGUAGCUCUGGCAUUUGAGCUCAGGCUGGCCAGAUUCCUUCCAUGGUGCCAGGCUGAAAGUCAUUUCUGCUGAUCACUUGUCUAAAAACCAUUCAUUCAGACUAAGGAUAUCUGUUGGACCCAAAGUGUGCAAGGCGAUAAGGUAAGCAGUCUUAUGGAAAGCCCUAUUUUAGUAAAACAGAAAAUGUUAGAAGAGAGGCUAUGGAUAGGAAUAAUAAUACAAAUACUUGUAUGGUGCCCCUUGGGAGAAGGCAACGCCCUGAGAGCUUUAUGAAUGUUUGAAGUCAUGACAACUUUAUGGGGUAGAUGUUAUCAUGAUCACUCUGGUUUUCCAGAUUAAGAAACAGAAGAGAGAGGUUAUGUUAGUUGCCUCAAGGUUAC
ensembl:lncRNA